AACGAACGCUGGCGGCAGGCUUAACACAUGCGAGUUGAACGCGUGUAGCAAUACACGAGUAGCGCACGGGUGCGUAACGCGUGGGAACCUUCCUCGUAGUUCGGAAUAACUCAGGGAAACUUGAGCUAAUACCGAAUGCCUCCUCCGGGAGAAAGACUUAUCGCUACGAGAUGGGCCCGCGUCAGAUUAGGUAGUUGGUAGGGUAACGGCCUACCAAGCCGACGAUCUGUAGCUGGUCUGAGAGGAUGAUCAGCCACACUGGGACUGAGACACGGCCCAGACUCCUACGGGAGGCAGCAGUGGGGAAUAUUGGACAAUGGGGGCAACCCUGAUCCAGCCAUGCCGCGUGAGUGAAGAAGGCCUUCGGGUUGUAAAGCUCUUUCGACGGGGACGAUGAUGACGGUACCCGUAUAAGAAGCCCCGGCUAACUUCGUGCCAGCCGCCGCGGUAA
rnacentral:rRNA from 1 species